rnacentral:lncRNA from 1 species
UUUUUUUUUUUUUUUUAAUGUCCACUCUCACCUCCCAAAAAAGCCUAAUACUCUUUUCUGUGCAGUUAAUGGCAUUCCUAUUCAACCUAGUUAUCCAGAUGAAGAAUCUUAACACUAUUUACUAGUCCUCUCUGACAUUUUUCAUCAUUAAGUCCUGUUGAGCUCAUCUUAAAAACGUCUCUGAAAUUUCUCCCCUUUCCAGUCCCUUUGCCAUUGUGACUUAACCGCCUGGUCCUGAUGUUUGCAGACUGCUCUUCAGCCUCUACACAUGUUCCAUAUGUCACAGCAAAACAAGACUACCUGUAGUUUGCUAGUGUUCUUCCCUAUUCCUAGAAUGUUCAUUAUCUGCUUUUCUACCUGAAAGAUCCAGUUUAAGUGUAAUUAUAAGGUGAUUAUCUUUGUCCUUCCCUUGUUACCCCCUACCAGUCUUCUAUCCUGAAAUCUUUAACAUUGGGACAGUGUCUCAGUUGUGUUUGUGUACCCAGCACAUGACACACAGUAACUAUCACAUAAGCUUUUAAUAAAUGCUAGUUGAAUUAGGGGUUCCCAUUGUGGGUCAGCGGUAACGAACCUGAAGAGGAUCCAUGAGGACAUGGGUUUUAUCCCUGGCCUCGCUCAGUGGGUUAAGAAUCUGGCCUUGCCCUGAGCUGUGGUGUAGGUCACAGAUAAUAGCUCGGAUCCUGCUUUGCUAGAGCUGUGACGUAGACCAGCAGCUGGGAUUUGACUGCUGGCCUGGGAAUUUCCAUUCACCACAGGUACAGCCCUAAAAAAUACAUAAAAAUUUUAAAAAUGUUAGUUGAGUUAACUUGAUUGUAUUUUUAUCCUGGUUUUUUCAAAGAAAACUACUCAGGUACUAGCAAUUUUGAAACAUACAUCCAAACCAAACCACCAUCUGAGUGAAAUGUCAUAGCAGAACACCCUAUCCUUCCUGUUCCAGAGAGUUUUAAAAAAUUACUUUUAUGUGAAUCAUUAGCCAUUCUUAAUUGGUUUUACUUUCUUUUCUUAAAAAAAAAAGUUUCUCAUAUCCUUGCCUUAUUGCUUAUCUCUGAGGUAAAUUGCAUGUCUUGUAUAUAUUCACAAAUUAAGGCUACAAUUGUUUUAAACUAAAUACCUCUAGGGGCAUGAAGACGUUCCUCUCAUGGCUCAGUGGUUUACAAACCUGACUAGUAUCCAUUAAGACGCAGGUUCAAUCCCUGGCCUUGCUCAUGGGUUAAGGAUACAGCAUUGCCAUGAGCUGUGGUGUAGGUGGCAGACGCUGCUCAGAUUGCGUUGCUGUGGUUGUGGUGUAGGCUGGCAGCUGCAGGUCUGAUUCAACCCCUAGCCUGGGAACCUCCAUAUGCUGCAGGUGUGGCCUGGCCCAUAGACAAAAGACAAAAAAAUAAAAAUAAAAAAAAGGCAUGAAGCAAAUACUUAGGGACGAUCUCUUCGAUACCAAGAAGGAGGCAGUAAAGAGAAAGCAUAUAUCUUCCAAGGGGAGAUAGGAAAUUUUGAAAUACAACAUAAAAAGUGAUGAGCCUGAAGGAGUGUAGGUAAAUGUCAGUCUUUGAUAAUCAGAGGACCAAGUUGUUUGCAUAAAAAAGUACUGUCAUGGUUUGAAAGAUACAAACUUUGUGGUGGGCUCCAGGCAAGUACAAAAGUCACAAAUAUAAGAGCUUUAAGACAGGACUUGUAUGAACAUCAGCCAGGAGGACGAUGUGGCUGGUUCAGAGUGAGCCAAUGGAGGAGGAGAAGCCAAAGGCCAAAUGAUACAGGGCUUUGUGGGUCACGGUAAGUUUGAAAUGGAAUUUUCAGUUUCCACUAAAUAGAAAGGCAAGGAGUUCCCGUGUGGCUCAGUGGGUUAAGACCCUGACUGUGAGGAUGCGGGUUCAAUCCCUGGACUGUGCAGUGGGUUAAGGAUCUGGCAUUGCUGACAGCUGUGGCAUAGGUUGCAGAUGAGGCUCAGAUCCAUUGUUGCUGUGGCUGUGGUGUCAGCCUCAGCUGCAGGUCCAAUUCAAUCCCUUGCCCAGGAACAUCCAUAUGCCCCAGGUGUGGCCCAAAAAAGAAGAGUCUAGCCUUCAAGUUCCCUUUGUACUCAGGGCAUUUAUCAACUAGAAGGGAAUCAGGAAAUGGAGCCAUUGUGUGGACAACAUCAUGGAGUUUUUCUCAGAAAAUAAAGUCCAGGAUGUGCCCCAGACCAGUCUGAACCACUAAGCCAACAACUUACCCAUCAAAGCUAAUGAAGCCAGAACCCAGUAGAGCUCCAUUCCUGGAGUAAAGGUCACCUGAGGAAACAGCCCUGAUUGGAACUUGCACCCUGAGUGGCAAAGGAAAUGUUAAACUACAGACUUAGAUUAAGAUGAGGUCUCCGACUGGCCGUGUCCUCAGGAGGUAAUCAGAAGCAACAGAAAGCCCUCUCUGGAGAAAGCUCUUCUUUUCAUAGGCCUCAAACUGUUCCUCCAAGUGAUAAACAAUACAGUGGUCAGUACACAGAGAUUAUCUGGGAAACAAGACACCAUGGUACAAAAACCAAAACCCAGCAGAAACAGCAGACCUAGAAGGCCUGGGAGGUGUGGGUUGGGGAGUGACAUUCUGAUGUGGUUUUCUGCUCUGCAGCUGCACCCUGAUGGGACCCUCUGAAGAACAAGAACCUGUCUUGUUCAAAUCAUUGAAAUAUUGAGUGCCUGCUGGGUCCCAAGGAGCUUAAGAUCUGGCAGGGAGGCACAAUAGUGUGAUAGGGUGAUGAAGCUGAGGGAACUUCAAGGCAGGAACAAUCAAAGUUGUCUUAGUGAGUCUGAAAGGAACUGCAGGGGAAGUGGGUCUUUGCCAGGCAUCUAAGUUAAAGCACACAGCAAGUGCCAAAACCUACGGGGGAGAGAGAACAAUGUGUUUGUAGCAUUAACGUUGGAUGAAGGAGUGGUGAGAAUAAGUCAAGAGAUAAAACUAGAGCUAGAACAUGAAAGACCAGGUUAUAGAGUUUUGAUUUUAUCUUAUGGGCAGUAGCAACACACAGAAUCAGUUUUGCGUUUGAGAAAAAUUGCCUUGGCUAUAGUCUAGAGAGUGUGUUUGGGAGGAUCGCAAAACUGGAGGGGAAAACAAGAGGCUUGACUGUAAUCCAAACAGCGGUUUAUUAUAAAUAUUGGCAUAAAUACAGACCUAUACGUCAAGGCAGAAAGGAGAGUCCAGGGUUAAGGUCAACUGAUUUUCAAGAUGCCAAAGCACUUCUAGGGGAAAAGAAUAAUCUAUUCAACUAUGGUACUAGAGCAUUUGAAGAGCCAUUUGCAAAAAUAAAAAAUCUUUUUUUUUUUUUUUGUCUUUUGUCUUUUGUUGUUGUUGUUGUUGUUGUUGUUGCUAUUUCUUGGGCCGCUCCCGCGGCAUAUGGAGAUUCCCAGGCUAGGGGUUGAAUCGGAGCUGUAGCCACCGGCCUACGCCAGAGCCACAGCAACGCGGGAUACGAGCCACGUCUGCAACCUACACCACAGCUCACGGCAACGCCGGAUCGUUAACCCACUGAGCAAGGGCAGGGACCGAACCCGCAACCUCAUGGUUCCUAGUCGGAUUCGUUAACCACUGCGCCACGACGGGACCUCCUAAAAAUAAAAAAUCUUAACCUCACACCGUAUACAAUAAUUGACCCCAAAUGAAUCAUAGACCUAAAUUAAGAGUGACAUCAUUAGUUGUUAGGGGGCUACACAUUAGAACCAAGAGAUACCACUAUGUACUCACUACAUUGACCAUAGGAAGUUUUGACAAGAAUGUAGAGCAAUGGGAACUUUCCUACUACUGAUGGGAAUAUGGAAUUGUAUAAGCACUUUGGAAAAUAGUUUGACAGCUUCUUGAAGUUCAACAUGCAUCUACUAGGCUAAUCAGGCAUUUUACUCCUAGGUAUUUAUCCAGGGGAAAAGAAAGUAUAUGUUCAUACAAAGAUUUUUAUGCAGAUGUUUGUGAUAGCCCAAUUAGAAACAUCCCGUAUGUCCAUCAAGAGGUGAAUAGAUAGGAGUUCCCAUCAUGUCGCCUUGGAAACGAAUCUGACUAGGAACCAGAAGGUUGUGGGUUUGAGAUCCCUGGCCUUGCUCAGCAGGUUAAGGAUUCAGCAUUGCCGUGAGCUGUGGUGUAGUUUGCAGAUGAGGCUCAGAUCUGGCAUUGCUGUGGCUCGGAUGUAGGUCGGCAGCUACAGCUCUGAUUAGACCCCUAACCUGGGAACCUCCAUAUGCUGUGGCUGCGGCCCUGAAACAGACAAAAAGACCAAAAAAAAAAAAAAAAAAAAGUGAAUAGGUCACCAAAUUUUGGUAUAUCUAUACAAUGGAACACAACAACAACAAAAAUGUUCUAGGAGUUCCCUGGUGGCUCAGUGGGUAAAGGAUCUGGCAUUGUCACUGCUGUGGCAUGGGUUUGAUCCCAUGGGAACUUUCACGUGCUGCAGACAUGGCCAAUAAAUAAAUAAAUAAAUAAAAUUUUUAAAUAUUUAAAAAAUCUAUUGAUAACAUGCAAAUAACACUGAUAAAUUUCUAUUAUACUGAGUGAAAACACCCAGGCCAAAAAAAAAAAAAAGUACAUACUUAAGGUUUUACUUACAUUUCUAGAAAUUGCUCAGUUACUGUGACAAACGUCAGAUAAGUGUUGGUUCAGAGCUCUUUUGGGAAGAACCACAUUUUCCUCAGCUCUCUUGGAUAGAGAGCAUUUAAAAUGUAAGGCAGGAGGAGAUCAACGAAGAUGGCAGAAUAGAAAGAUUCUGAGCUCAUCUCCUUUCAUAGGCACAUAAAAUUAUAGCUCUUUAUAGAAGAACCAUCAAUGAAAAAGAUGAACCUACCAGAAGGGAUCUUUUACAGCUACAGUUAUAAAGUAGAAACUACAAUGAGAUGGGUAAGGAGGGCAGGAGCCAUUGUAUAGUCAGAUCUCAGACCCCAAUGGGCAACCUACAAAAGGGAGUUUAAUUACAAUCAUAGAGACGUUCAUCCAUGAGUGAGGGGUCUGAACCCCUAUCAGGCUCCUGCACUGGGGAGACAAGCCCCCAGAACAUUUGUUUUUGAAGGUCAGAGGGACUUACUUUUGGGAGUCCCAGAUAGCUAUGGGAAAUAGUGACACCACUCUUAAAGGGAGCAAGCAAAAUCCCACCUGCUUCAGGACCUAGGGCAAAAACAGUAUUUAGAAAGGAGUCUGGGUCUAACCCACCUGCUGAUCUUGGAGAGGCUGGAGCUCAGCCUGGGGCCACAGAUAACAGCAGCAGCCAUUUGAGGGAACUUGUUCUACAACACAGACACUCCUGCUGCCAAGCACAUUUUGGAAUCCCUCUCUAGCUUAUUAGCCCGAGGACCCUGGCCCACCACCUCCGCAACAGGCUUGAGUACUGAGAUGCCUUAGGCCAAGCAACUAACUGGCCAGAAACACAGCCCCACCUACCAGCAGAUAGACUGCCUUAAGACCCCCUGAGCUCACAUCCAUCACUGGAUAAGGCCCUGCCCACCAGUUCUUGGCCCCUCACACCAGUGUGCAGGCACAAUGUCCGGGACCCCAGGGUCCUGCAGCCAGAGACCCUAGAACCUAGUUCCACUCACCAGAGGGUGGGCACUAGACAAAGAAGGUCACUACAUAAUGACCAAAGGAAAUAUAACUAUUGUAAAUAUAUAUGCUCUCAGCAUAGGAGCACCUAAAUACAUAAGCAAAUGCUAAUGGAUAUAAAGGGAGAAACUGACAGUAACACAAUAAUAGUGGGGGACUUUUUAAACAUUCUGUUUACAUCAAUGGACAGAUCAUCCAGAUAGAAAAUCAGUAAGGAAACAUUGGGCUUAUAUGACACGUUAGAGAAGACAGACUUAAUUGCUAUAUGGAGAGCAUUCCAUUAGAGCAGCAGAAUACACACUCUUUUUAAAUGUGCAAAGAACAUUCCCCAGGGUAGAUUGCAUACUAGGCCACAAAACACAUCUUGGUAACUUAGCAAAGUUGAAAUCAUAUUUAGCAUCUUUUCCAACCACCAACACUGUGAGACUAAAAAAAAUCAACUACAGGGAAAGAACUGAAAAAACAAACAUGUGGAGGCUAAACAAUGUGCCACCAUACAACCAAUGAAUCACUGAA